UACGGAGGGUGCAAGCGUUAUUCGGAAUUAUUGGGCGUAAAGAGCACGUAGGCGGCCAGUUAAGUCAGAUGUGAAAGCCCGGGGCUUAACCCCGGAAGUGCAUUUGAAACUAAUUGGCUUGAGUAUGGGAGAGGGAAGUGGAAUUCCUGGUGUAGAGGUGAAAUUCGUAGAUAUCAGGAGGAACACCGGUGGCGAAGGCGACUUCCUGGACCAAUACUGACGCUGAGGUGCGAAAGCGUGGGGAGCAAACAGG
rnacentral:rRNA from 1 species